ensembl:snRNA U6 U6 spliceosomal RNA
GUGCUCAUUUUGGAGCACAUAUACUAAAAUUGGAAAGCUACAGAGAUUAGCACGUCCCCUGUGCAAGGAUGACCCUCACAUAUGUAAUGCAGUCCAUAUUUUU